rnacentral:rRNA from 1 species
AGAGUUUGAUCCUGGCUCAGAACGAACGUUAGCGGCGCGCUUAACACAUGCAAGUCGAGCGAGAAAGAGGGCAACCUCCAGUAAAGCGGCGCACGGGUGAGUAACACGUAGGUAACCUGCCCCCAGGUGGUGGAUAACCUUCCGAAAGGGGGGCUAAUACAGCAUGAGACCACGUCCUCGAAAGAGGAUGAGGUGAAAGUCGGCCUCUGUUCACAAGCUGACGCCAGGGGAUGAGCCUGCGGCCCAUCAGGUAGUUGGUCGGGUAAUGGCCUACCAAGCCGAAGACGGGUAGCUGGUCUGAGAGGAGGAUCAGCCACACUGGAACUGAGACACGGUCCAGACUCCUAGGGGAGGCAGCAGUGGGGAAUCUGGCGCAAGGGGCGAAAGCCUGACGAAGCGACGCCGCGUGAGUGAUGAAGGCCUUCGGGUUGUAAAGCGCUGUGGGGAGAGACGAAUAAGGCGGGUCGAACAGGCGCGUUGAUGACGGUAUCUCCUUAGCAAGCACCGGCUAACUCUGUGCCAGCAGCCGCGGUAAUUC